rnacentral:rRNA from 1 species
UACGUAGGAUCCAAGCGUUGUCCGGAUUUACUGGGUGUAAAGGGUGCGCAGGCGGACUUGUAAGUCAGGGGUGAAAUCUCACAGCUUAACUGUGAAACUGCCUUUGAUACUGCAAGUCUUGGAUCCAGAAGAGAGUUGUGGAAUUCCGAGUGUAGCAGUGAAAUGUGUAGAUAUUCGGAAGAACACCAGUGGCGAAGGCAGCAACUUGGUCUGGUAUCGACGCUCAGGCACGAAAGCAUGGGGAUCAAACAGGAGUUAGAA